rnacentral:lncRNA from 1 species
CCUGGGAUACAUGAGAUCAUCCUCAAAUUAAAAAAAAAAUUUAAAAAAUAAAAGUAAUGUUUGAGUUCUGCUAGGAACUACUUAUCUCGUAAUAGUAAUAGUAAAGAACAUUCAACUACUGCAUAGGCCUGGCUCCUAGAGUAUCCUGCACUGGAUUCCUGGUGAUGAGCAAUGCGGAUUAAAGAUUAUGACAGCAGCAAAGUGUUUCCCGGAACAAUGCUUCAUAUGUGCCCCAGGGCAAUUCAGCUCUCUUUGAUUUCUCCUUCUGCAGCCCCUGGGGAUCGAAGAUGGAGACCAUUAAAGAAAACCAAACCAAGCCAGGCAUUGGUGGCACACGCCUUAAAUCCCAGCAAUCGGGAGGCAGAGGCAGGUGGAUUUCUGAGUUCGAGGCCAGCCUGGUCUACACAGUGAGUUCCAGGACAACCAGGGCUACACAGAGAAACCCUGUCUCGGAAAAAAAAGAAAGAAAGAAAGAAAGAAAGAAAGAAAGAAAGAAAGAAAGAAAGAAAGAAAGAAAGAAAGAAAGAAAGAAAGAAAGAAAGAAAGAAAGAAAGAAAACCAAAACCAAUCAAAACGCAGGUAUGGAGACCAGUUCCAAUGGACAGAUGGACCUCUAAGGUUCAAGGAGCUCUGUGGAAGGGGGUGGGGGUGGGGGGAGUAGAGAUUGUUAGAGCCAGAGGAACAGAAGUUUGGUGUUAUAAGAUUGUGUUUCCUAGGAAUGUCAGAAGCUACACACAUAAAGUCUCACCAACAUGGCUACCUAAAGGUGACCUGAACAAGGACAAUACCAACGAUAGCCAUGUUAACACAGAGGGGGAGGGAGCAAAAGAGGCCUCAGCCCUAGACUAAAGAAGAACUAAAGCAACUGAGGAGUACUGAGAGUGGAAGAAACAGUCUGCCCCAGAGAAGAGAGAGCAUGCCGGCUGGUUGUCCAGCACCAAGCAGUCAGCCCAGAAAACAUGCAUACAAGGAACAUUAUAGAUUGUAUUUAUGUACUAUGCAUUGUAGCCUCCCCAGCCUUGAGCAGGCUGAUUCAGACCUGUUCUGCCACUGUGAAUGAGACCACCUAGGGUGGAGUCUUCUGACCUAGAUAGGUCUAUUGUUCCGUCACCUGCACUGCUCUCCUCCAAGAUGCGGCUUCCUGCUGAGAGGCUGAACCUGUCUUCCUGAGAUAUUCCUGAGAUAAGAUGACAAGAUGGUGACUGACAACCUGUCCAUUGGUGACCUAGUGCUAACAACUUGGCAACAAAGCAUAAAGAUGCCUGGCGUGGCAGGGGAUGGGCCUCCUCCUUUAUAAGCACAGACUCUUAGUAAACA